UACGAAGGGGGCUAGCGUUGCUCGGAAUCACUGGGCGUAAAGCGCACGUAGGCGGAUCUUUAAGUCAGGGGUGAAAUCCUGGAGCUCAACUCCAGAACUGCCUUUGAUACUGGGGAUCUCGAGUCCGGGAGAGGUGAGUGGAACUGCGAGUGUAGAGGUGAAAUGCGUAGAUAUCGAGAGGAACACCUGCGGCGAAGGCGGGUUGCUGGGCUGAUACUGACGCUGAUGCGCGAAAGCCAGGGGAGCGAACGGG
rnacentral:rRNA from 1 species